AAAAAAACUGUGAAAGGGAAUAGUAAGUGAAUUUAAGCUAGGUUCAGAGAGUAAGGUCAUGGCUGGGAACCUUAUCCGACGCUUUUCACUGAAUGGGCCCUGGAGUUGCAAGCUGAACAAAGAGUAGGCUGGAACGGGUGCUCCCGUUAUAGAGCAAAGCCUUUGAUAUCAAUAUAUCGGUGGCAGAUUAAGUGAGACCAUUAUGGUGGUCUAACUAGGGUGGUACCGCGUCUAAACUCGUCCCUUUU
rfam:Clostridiaceae bacterium BRH_c20a BRHa_1003408, whole genome shotgun sequence.